AACGCUGGCGGCGUGCCUAACACAUGCAAGUCGAACGAAGCAUUUCUCUGGAGAUCGUCGAAAGAGGACUUGACUAGUGGCGGACGGGUGAGUAAUACAUGAGCAACCUGCCCUGAGGAGGGGGACGAACAGUUGGAAACGACUGCUAAUACCGCAUGAUGUAACGGGAGGGCAUCCUCCUGUUACCAAAGAUUUAUCGCCUUGGGAUGGGCUCAUGUCUGAUUAGCUGGUUGGUGGGGUAACGGCCUACCAAGGCUGCGAUCAGUAGCCGGACUGAGAGGUUGAACGGCCACAUUGGGACUGAGAUACGGCCCAGACUCCUACGGGAGGCAGCAGUGGGGAAUAUUGGGCAAUGGGCGAAAGCCUCGACCCAGCAACGCCGCGUGAAGGAAGAAGGCCUUCGGGUUGUAAACUUCUUUUAUGAGGGACGAAGGACGUGACGGUACCUCAUGAAUAAGCCACGGCUAACUACGUGCCAGCAGCCGC
rnacentral:rRNA from 1 species